GGCCUAACCCUUUAGAAAUAAAGGUAUGGCGAAAAGUCCUUGGAAGAUAAAGAACCCAUCAUAUGUGGUUUGUCUUCCAAGGCCGUAUCGGGAAACUGGUACGAGUGACGCAAGUCGCU
rnacentral:sRNA from 12 species